AACGAACGCUGGCGGCAUGCCUAACACAUGCAAGUCGAACGAGACCUUCGGGUCUAGUGGCGCACGGGUGCGUAACGCGUGGGAACCUGCCCUUAGGUUCGGAAUAACUCCCCGAAAGGGGUGCUAAUACCGGAUAAUGUCUUCGGACCAAAGAUUUAUCGCCUUUGGAUGGGCCCGCGUUGGAUUAGCUAGUUGGUAGGGUAAAAGCCUACUAAGGCGACGAUCCAUAGCUGGGCUGAGAGGAUGAUCAGCCACACUGGGACUGAGACACGGCCCAGACUCCUACGGGAGGCAGCAGUGGGGAAUAUUGGACAAUGGGCGAAAGCCUGAUCCAGCAAUGCCGCGUGAGUGAUGAAGGCCUUAGGGUUGUAAAGCUCUUUUACCCGGGAUGAUAAUGACAGUACCGGGAGAAUAAGCUCCGGCUAACUCCGUG
rnacentral:rRNA from 1 species